AAUCAACGCUGGCGGCGCGCUUAACACAUGCAAGUCGCACGAGAAAGGGGAGCAAUCCCUGAGUACAGUGGCGUACGGGUGAGUAACACGUGGGUAAUCUACCUCUUAGUGGGGAGUAUCUCUGGGAACCGGAGUUAAUACCGCAUAAGUUCGGAAGAAGAAAGACGAGCAAUCGCGCUGAGAGAGGAGCCCGCCGGCCGAUUAGCUAGUUGGUGGGGUAAAGGACUCACCAAGGCAGAGAUCGGUAGCCGGCCUGAGAGGGCACACGGCCACACUGGCACUGAAACACGGGCCAGACUCCUACGGGA
rnacentral:rRNA from 1 species